GACGAACGCUGGCGGCGUGCUUAAUACAUGCAAGUCGAACGCAGUGGGGACGGGUGAGUAACACGUGGGUAACCUCCCAUCAGAGGGGAGAACACUUGGAAACAGGUGCUAAACCGAUACUGAUGGAUGGACCCGGGGUGCAUUAGCUAGUUGGGGAGGUAACGGCCCACCAAGGCCACGAUGCAUAGCCGACCUGAGAGGGUGAUCGGCAACACUGGAACUGAGACACGGCCCAGACUCCUACGGGAGGCAGAAGUAGGGAAUCUUCGGCAAUGGACGAAAGUCUGACCGAGCAACGCCGCGUGAGUGAAGAAGGUUUUCGGAUCGUAAAGCUCGUUUGUUAGAGAGGCGGUAUCUAACCAGAAAGCCACGGCUAACUACGUGCCAGCAGCCGCGGUAAUUC
rnacentral:rRNA from 1 species